CUCCCGUUCCCGCGCAGUGGCGGGAUUGCACCUGUAGGCGGCCUCCGUGUUGCUCUCUGGGUGGCGAAGCGCCGCCUGAAUAGAACCUCACCGCUGUCGCGGGCCACAGAACUUGCCUUCUCCUGGGUGAUGUGGAAAGCGAUGCCAUUUUCCACCUUGAGUUAGGCCUUGCAAUUAGCGGCGACACUCCUGCUCAUAAUCAAGGUCAAAGGGAACCCACAGGCUGGCUGAAGCCUCUGCCAGCCUCUUUCCAGCUGGGUCUAAACGGAACUCUUAAGGAAUACAGAUUUCCAUUAAAGGACUUGAGGGACGAAUGGAGUUUCAUACCUUGCAUUGGGCCCGCCAUGAAGAAAAGUGUGGCUUUUCCUGGAUCAGUUUCGCGCUCUGUUAGACAAAGGGCAUUGAUGGGUCAAGGGAAAAAUACUUUCCAACAUGCUGAAUUAUGAUAACAUAAAAAUAGAUAUUUGUGGCGAGCUACAUUUAAAGAGGCCCAGUAUAGACAGUACCAGAUACCUUUUGGUGGGGUCAAGAAAGCUGAUCGGUACAUUGGUUCAAGGCUACCAAAGAUAGUUCAGCAAUAUUGGCGUUUUAAUCACCCGAAAACGGUGAUUUCUUAAUGGCAAUGAGCCCCAUCUUGAUCAUUCCUGGGGAACUUAAUACAUAAUUGGGAAGCACAUAGCCAAAAUCAGAAUGAGUUUGCAACUGGUCAUAGAAACACCUGGCUCAGGCGGCAGACACCUGAGCAUUCCUCAAUAUCCCCAGCCCCUUUUCCACCAAUUAUCACUAACGCAAAGCAUCCAGUUGCCAAUCUUAAUCCAAUGCAGGUUUUACCCACUAAAGUUUCCAGAAACAAUAGUCCCCACUUCUCGCUCAACUCCUCGCUUUUACCUCUAUUCACCAAGUUAGGGUACUCAAUAGUGGUUUUAAAGCAAAGCUGUGUGGAAAAAAAGCUGCACAGCCCAUAAAGGCUGGAGUGGUCUUAGAGUGUACAGUCCUUGAGGUUCUAAGGUCUAAAGCUGUCUUCAAGUUUAAAGCUGUAUCCAAUAGUCCAUGCCACCUGGAAAGAGGCUGUAGAGUUAGGCAUUUACUUGGGAAUUUUUGAGCUAGCCACCUGAGUUACAUUGAAGAGCUACCUGGGAUUACAAUAGUCCUGCUAGUAACAAUUUCGGCUUCAUGAAAAUUGAGAUCAGUACCUGGGCACCAGUGAGUUUAGCUCACUUCUUUAAUAGGAAAUACAGUAGUUUUGAGUAGUGAAAAGCACCCAUGUAACUUAACAGGAAUGUCAAAUCACUAAUAAAUACCAAACUCUCCCAGCAAAUAGCACAGAGCCCCUAGUCAUUUCUGAGCCUGGGAAGGCAUAUUUGAGGAAGACAGUUGUGACUUACAGGGGAUUCUUUCGAAAAAUUUCACUUGGGGCUCUUCCAGUGAGCCGGGAGUCCCCCAAGAAGCUAGUUACGUUUAUUGCAAUGUACUCUGGGUGGAAGCUUUGUCCUCUACUUCCUUGAUCACCCGCCCCAUACUAGAGAAUGGGGAACUACUACUAAACAGAAUUCAGAUAUGGACAUUUCCCCUUGCCAAGCCAUAGCCUGCCUUCGAGCUUUGCUUUCCAAUUGUAAAUGAAUAGUCCAGAAAACAUUCCCAUGAAAAAUGCCACUUAGCCAUUACCCUUACCCCUGAGAGAAAGGAGGGGUUCAGAGCCAGUUACCCUAGGACCCACUGCAUGUGUUUGGAUAGCUUCUGUAAUUUUUUAAAGAUGAUGCCUCAAUUUCUGUUCCACAAAAUGUACCCCAACUUUAUUGAAUCAUCAAAGAAGAGUACCAACUUCCCAUAGGGCUUACCAAGAGACGUUCAAGUUAUAAUGAUUGUAUUUUAAACCGUUUAAUCAACUGAAAUCCUUAGUCAACACUGAUAAGAAUCAGCUAAUCAAUAUUUAUUGAGAAGUAACUGUUGCAUGCAGCAGCAGGGAUGAUCUAAAGAAUAACACAUGAAGGGAAAUAAGCCCAGCACCAAGAGUACAACAUGUAUGAGUUCCUUUAUACAAAGCUCUAGAACAGGAAAAACUAGUCUCAGGUGAAAAAUGAAGUAUGGGAAGGGUGGUGGGUGGUUGGAGAUUUGAUGUGUUUGAUGCUUUCCUGAGCGUGAGAUAAGGCUAUUAUCUGUGUCUUAAUAAGGAGUUGGGUGACACAGGUGUGCGCAUUAUCAACUUUCACUAACAAGCACAUCUGAAACCAGUGCCAGUCAUUAUUUGUUAAAGAGAGAGAGAGAGAGAGAGAGAGAGAGAGAGAGAGAGAGAGAGAGAGAGAGAGAGAUUGAAAGAUUGAGAGUCCCCCCCAUUACUUAUAUCAGUACAAAAGCAUUUAGAAAUAUUUGAAAUGAGACCUACAAUGUAACUUUAAAUGCAUAAAAAGUAGAGAAUGGCUAGGUGACUAGCUAUACUGCCUAAAGAAAGCAAUAAAGUCUUAGAGCCUAGCACAUGGGAAGGAGGAGGAUGACUUUGAGUUCAAGGCCAGCAUGGUCUAUGUCCUGAGAUCCUAUCUCAGCAAGACAGAAGAGUGAGAAGAGUGGGGGCAGGAGAAGGGACCAAUGAAUCUAGGGAAUAGACUUGUUCACUGUAAAAUUCCUCCAAAUUUCUCUUUGAAAUGUCAGUUACAAAAUGUUGAGGAAAUAGUUAUUGAUAUACCUGUUAUUAUCCAAAGUUCCAAGAACAUGGCAGAAACCACCCAAAUCCUGGACUUCAGCAGGGUAGAGCAAAGCAUUCAUGUUCAAGGAUUAGAGGUGGUGUAGAUGGAGGUAGUAACCAAAGCCCAUGGCUCUUUUCCCUGAUUACUUGUCCUUCUAAUUCUUUUCUUCAUUGCAGUAAAUAGUCCGAAUUAAAGACGAGGAAUAUAUAAUGCGCCCUUUAAAAUCUUUUAUCUUGUUUUUAAAAUAUGUUUUAUGUAUAUGUCUGGUUAACCUGUGUGUAUGUGUGUGUGUGUGUGUGUGUGUGUGUGUGUGUGUGUGUGUAGUACAUGCAUGCCUAGUGCCUGAAGAGGUUAUAAAAUGGCAUCAGAUACCCUGGAAAUGGAGUUAUGGAUGUCUGUCAGCCACACUGUGGAUUCUAGGAACUGAACUCAGGCGCUCUGAAAGAGCAACAAGUGAUCUUAACAGCUGAGCUAUAUCUCUCAAGGUUCUCUCUCUCCCUGUUUGCAGAAAAGUUAAUGCAUCUUUUCAAGUCCUAUUCUAUGGAUAUAAUAUCUCUCUGUCUCUUUUCAAUAGAGACAAAGAAGACUUAUAUGUCCUGGAAGAUCCUCUUGUCCUAUAAUGGGUUACUGCUUCAGACUCCUGGUCAAGGCUCCUAGAAAUUCUGCCCAGUCAGUUCUCCAGUUUGAACAGGGAACAGAAAGAGAUUUCAUAUCAAAAGAAUGAAUUCAUAAAGGUGCUCCAGGACCAUAUAAUCUUCAUGGAGCUGAGACAAUUAGAGUGAGAAACCCUGCUUGUGUGCUAUCUUGAUCUCCAGGGAAAAGGGGAGAAGGACCCAAGCAGUAUUCAGAGAAUAAAUGGUCUCCAGUGACUAAUUAAAGG